GACGAACGCUGGCGGCGCGCUUAACACAUGCAAGUCGAGCGAUAACCAUGGCUUCGGCCAUGGGGAGAGCGGCGAACGGGUGAGUAACACGUGAGUGAUCUGCCCUCGACACCGGGAUAGCCCGGGGAAACCCGGAUUAAUACCGGAUGGCCUCUGGAGCCCACGGGCUCGCGAGAAAAGAUGGCUUCGGCUUUCGGUCGAGGAGGAGCUUGCGGCGGAUUAGCUUGGUGGUGGGGUAACGGCUCACCAAGGCGACGAUCCGUAGCUGGUCUGAGAGGACGAUCAGCCACACUGGGACUGAGACACGGCCCAGACUCCUACGGGGGGCAGCAGUGGGGAAUCUUGCGCAAUGGGCGAAAGCCUGACGCAGCGACGCCGCGUGAGGGAAGAAGGCCUUCGGGUUGUAAACCUCUUUCAGGAGGGACGAAGCUACUCGGGUUAAUACCCCAGAGGGUGACGGUACCUCCAGAAGAAGCCCCGGCUAACUACGUGCCAGCCGCCGCGGUAAGAC
rnacentral:rRNA from 1 species